CGAGCGGCGGAGGUGAGUACGGCGGGAAGCGCCUUUGCGGGGACACCCUUGGGAACCAGGGCUAAUACGCAUAUCUCUCGGAGUAAAGCGGGGAUCUUCGGACCUCGCGCCAUUGGAGCGGCCCGUGUCCGAUUAGUUGACGGCGGGGUAACAGCCCACCGUGGCUACAAUCGGUAGCUGGUUUGAGAGGAUGAUCAGCCACACCGGGACUGAGACACGGCCCGGACUCCUACGGGAGGCAGCAAGUGGGGAAUAUUGGACAAUGGGGGGCAACUCUGAUCCAGCGAUGCCGCGUGUGUGAAGAAGGCCUUCGGGUUGUAAAGCACUUUCGCGGGGGAAAGAAACUUCGCGCUCUAUAACAUAGCGCGGCACUGACGGUACCCCGAGAAAGAAGCGCCGGCAUAACUCCGUGCCAGCAAGCCGCGGUGAAUACGGAGGGGCGCUAAGCGUAUAAUCGGAAAUGACUGGGGCGUGAAAGCGUGCGCCAGGCGGCCUGCGGAAAGUUCGGAAUGUGAAAAGCCCCCGGGGCUCCGACCCCGGGGAACUGGC
rnacentral:rRNA from 1 species